CAAUAGCGUAUAUUAAAGUUGUUGCGGUUAAAAGCUCGUAGUUGGAUUUCUGCGGGGGACGAACGGUCUACCUUAUGGGUAAGUAUCUGUCAGGCCCUUGCAUCCUCACAAAGAACGUCGCUGCGCUUUAUUGCGUGGUACGGAAUUUGUGACUUUUACUUUGAGGAAAUUAGAGUGUUCACGGCAAGCAAACGCUUUGAAUAUGUUAGCAUGGAAUAAUAAUAUAGGACCUUGGUACUAUUUUGUUGGUUUCUAGAACUAAGGUAAUGAUUAAUAGGGACAGUUUGGGGGCAUUUGUAUCAACACGUCAGAGGUGGAAUUCUUGGAUUGUGUUGCGACAAAACUACUCGUCGAACGAACGACUUUAGUUUCCGAACCGGAAAGGUAGUUUUUCGUUUACUUAGUUAGUACUAACGAAAACGGAAAAACGGUAAAAGUUAGGGGGUAGGGGUACGUAACGGAAACGGAACGUACUACGAAGUAACCGUUACCCGUUCGUAGG
rnacentral:rRNA from 1 species